UAUGUUUGCUUUAGUUCAUUCCAGAUAGAAACGACUUCAGAAGCGCUCGUGCUUCGUUCUAACUAGGGCUGCACGAUAACUGACCUUUCUGCUCAAAAAUAUAAUCACAAUUAUUCUUAUUUUACUCUCAACUUUUUUGAAUUUAAUCAGAAUUGAAUCAGAAGUAAACACUAAUCAACAGUAAUCUAGGAGGUGUGUGUGCAUUGGGAAUCAACUAAAGCCAAGAUAACAUUUAUUUUAUGAAAUCAUGAGUUUAAAGAUUGUGAAGCUGAACUCUUCUCCCAGCAUUCAGUUCUCUGUUGGGUUCAUCACGCAGGGAACACGUGAUCACAGACACACACACACACACACGCGGUUGGGAAAUCAGUUUGUAAAGCGUGUUUUUGGGCAUAAUUAGUUUGAUUGGUUUUCAUCAAACUGAAGUCUGUCAUCAUCUUCAUCACGCUGGCACUCAGACGAGAUUUGCGGUCGAUUAACGUCAUUUAUUUCUGUUGGGAUGCAGUGAGCGCUUCGUUAUCAAGCAAUAUAUUACAGACAUGGACGCAGAUCCCAUUCAGAUCAUUUCCCUGCACUUUAUAUAGAAAUGUAUUUUAGAAAUGUAUAUAUGAGAAUAUCGGUUGUCAAUAUUUCUCCUGAUGAUUAAUAUUAUUAUAUUAUUUUCAUUGCUGUAAACGAAUAGUGAUCAUGUUGUUCUUACAAGCGUUUAAUCGCUCUGCUUCGGUUUAAUGAUAGUUUUAUGUCUUUGACUGCAUAGAACUAUAUCCAUAAAGACAAAAACCAAUGUGGUGUAAAUGUUUUUGUUGUUGUUUUGGAAUAAACUUUAGUGAAUGUAAGAA